AUAAAAAAAAGUUAAGAAAAUAUGUAUGUAUACAAAUUUAAUAAGCAGAGUUAAGAAAAUUACUGUAUAUUACGUUGAUACAGUUGAUAAGAGGGAAAGGUAUCAAUAUAUAUAAAUGUAGCGAAUUUAUAGUUGUGGAACUAUUUAUGUAUAUAUUCCUUGACAGAUCUUCAGGAUGAAAAUAAUACUUUUGUUGUUCAUUAUUUUGCUGGAUUCUGAGGAAGCAAAAGACCUUCAAUGGCCUGCUCGAUGUGGGUGCUCGAUUCAAGUCAUCGAUGGUUACGUGACUGCUGAUUGCUCAGAUCAGCCAAGUGUGAACUUUGAAUGUUUGGCAGCGUGGAGGCCAAAUGCCCUGAAUCUCUCAGGAAAUGGCUUGCAAGAAGUCCCAUCAUCCCUGAAUGAAACAGGGUUUGAGAACGUAAUGCACCUCGAUUUGUCCAAUAACAAGAUUGAAAAACUCUCCAGCUGGAGCUUCGGAUCAAUGCUAGGCCUGAAAAGCAUAGAACUUAGCGGAAACAAGCUUACUGACCUGCCCAGAUCUGUUGCAAAAAUAGAUCUGGUUGAUGUGAGCCACAACAAUCUCACCGAUAUUCACAGCAUAAUUGGCCUUGUUAACACUCAGGCAAUAGUAAAAGGAAACCCAAUCAGGUGCAGCUGCCGCUCUCCGAUUGUGAAGAGGAUCUAUGAAACAGAUAGGAAUGUUAGUCUGGAUUGCAUAUUUGGCGACUCGGAAGUUCUACAGCCCCAACCAACGCAGUGCCGAGAUCAAAUUAUCGAAAAUGAACCAUUUUGGACAUCUUGGAGGUUGUAUAUUUUCUUGGUGAUAGGUACUUCAACAAUUGUUGUGACUGUCGUUAUUUUGGGGUGCUGUAGUUUCAACGUUAACAACCAAGGGGACGACAGCGACACGCUAGCUGUUGAUCAUCGUGAUCUCUCGCUAUGCGGCCGCUAUAAUAUUAUUCCACAAUAACCCAUAUGUAUUAACCUAAGCAAUCGUCAGAUCUUUUGAUAUGCCUCCGAUAUCCUUGCUAUACACGGAGCAGAACGGCGCAGAAUUGUCCUAAAGUAAAUGUCAUGAAGCAUCAUUGUUUGUUUUUCUGCUUUUGCCUGUUUUGUAAUCUCUCCCCGCUAAAGCUUGCGCUCUGGUUAGCUUUGACGCUCUUGAGUUUGAUCUCAACUUUCGGCUGCUGCUUCUGCCGGGCCGCGCUGAUGGAGCUGUUGCAGCUCCGACAAACACAAGCACAAACACACAAUAAACAUUUAGCAUAUUUAAAGAACUAUUUCUUUAUUUAAACUAAAUGAAACAAGAGGAUAAUAAAUUAGAAAACUUGGCUGAUCUGGUCGGGAGCUGGGACUCCCAGCCUGGGAGUGAAUCCUA